rnacentral:rRNA from 1 species
GACGAACGCUGGCGGCGUGCUUAACACAUGCAAGUCGAACGGAAAGGCCCUGCUUUUGUGGGGUGCUCGAGUGGCGAACGGGUGAGUAACACGUGAGUAACCUGCCCUGGACUUUGGGAUAACUUCAGGCAACUGGGGCUAAUACCGGAUAGGAGCUCCUGCUGCAUGGGGGGGGUUGGAAAGUUUCGGCGGGUGGGGAUGGACUCGCGGCUUAUUAGCUUGUUGGUGGGGGAGUGGCUUACCAAGGCUUUGACGGGUAGCCGGCAUGAGAGGGUGACCGGCGACAUUGGGACUGAGAUACGGCCCAGACUCCUACGGGAGGCAGCAGUGGGGAAUAUGGUCCAACGGGCGGAAGCCUGAUGCAGAAACGCCGCGUGCGGGAUGACGGCCUUCGGGUUGUAAACCGCUUUCGCCUGUGACGAAGCGUGAGUGACGGUAAUGGGUAAAGAAGCACCGGCUAACUACGUG